AGAGAGAGGGACAACAAACAGAUCCAGAUAGAGAGGGACAACAAACAGAUCCAGAGAGGGAGGGACAACAAACAGAUCCAGAGAGAGAGAGAGAGGGACAACAAACAGAUCCAGAGAGAGAGGCAGGGACAACAAACAGAUCCAGAGAGAGAGAGGGACAACAAACAGAUCCAGAGAGGGAGGGACAACAAACAGAUCCAGAGAGAGAGAGAGAGGGACAACAAACAGAUCCAGAGAGAGAGAGAGAGGGACAACAAACAGAUCCAGAGAGAGGCAGGGACAACAAACAGAUCCAGAGAGAGAGAGAGGGACAACAAACUGAACCAGAGAGAGAGGCAGGGACAACAAACAGAUCCAGAGAGAGAGAGAGGGACAACAAAUAGAUCCAGAGAGAGAGAGAGAGAGAGACAACAAACAGAUCCAGAGAGAGAGAGACAACAAACAGAUCCAGAGAGAGAGGGACAACAAACAGAUCCAGAGAGAGAGACAACAAACAGAUCCAGAGAGAGAGGGACAACAAUCAGAUCGAGAGAGAGAGACAACAAACAGAUCCAGAGAGAGAGAGAGAGAGACAACAAACAGAUCCAGAGAGAGAGAGACAACAAACAGAUCCAGAGAGAGAGACAACAAACAGAUCCAGAGAGGGACAACAAACAGAUCCAGAGAGAGAGAGAGAGACAACAAACAGAUCCAGAGAGAGAGGGACAACAAACAGAUCCAGAGAGAGAGAGAGAGAGAGACAACAAACAGAUCCAGAGAGAGAGAGACAACAAACAGAUCCAGAGAGAGAGAGACAACAAACAGAUCCAGAGAGGGACAACAAACAGAUCCAGAGAGAGAGAGAGAGACAACAAACAGAUCCAGAGAGAGAGGGACAACAAACAGAUCCAGAGAGAGAGAGAGAGAGAGAGAGACA
ensembl:lncRNA